ACCCUGCUACUCCCAGAACUCUUUACAUAUCUCACGUACAUGUGUAUGAUGAGGGAAUAUACAUCUGUGAGACAAUAACUCUUAAACACAAACUAACACAAACAUUUAACCAGACCAUCUAAACAGAUGACAGCCUCUCACCAUUUCAACAGUUCAUCAUGUCUGCUGCCAUAUCAGGGAUAAUUGUCAUCAUCGUAUUUACGGUAUUAAUUUAAUUAUAGUAGCAAGACCAGCAGCUGAGGGACACAAAACCGAAGAUCCAGACAGGACAUCAGGGUUUUCUACAACCAUUACUUAUAAUGGGCCUUAUAGUCUGAGGAGUUUUUUUUUUUCAUUUGCAAACCAAUCUCAUUUCAUUAAAAUUACUUCUAAUUG